UUAAUGGUUCUCCCUCACAAAAACGAUAACAUUGAGGUCUCUGCUUCACCACCAACGCCACCUUCAUCUCUUCUAAGCGCGUCACCGUCGACAUCACCUUCAUCUCCAUCUCUGCUUCGAGAUCAUUGAGGUCUCUACCAAGCACGUCAAUGUCCAUCUCAAGAUCAUUGACUCCUACUGCCCGGUUCAACGAAAACCAAUGAUGGUUUCGAUUUAGGGUUCUAAUUUCAAUCAAUUUGUGAUGAUUUUCUUCUUUGGGUUGUAGCUAUUGAAGGUCUUACACUACAAUGUGUUAGUGUUGUUCUCAAAGGCUCUGGCCAACAUCAGGGCACAAAUUUGUUCGGGGUUUUGACAUAACAGUGACGAUCACCGGAAUCCAGCUAAAGCCAUGCCGGUUCACCCUAGAAAGACUAUCCAGCUUGAAUAUGUAUGAUACGAGGUUGUAAGUGUUUCUGAAGGUAAUGCAGAUUAUAUCUUGCUAUUUUUUUUUAAUUUAUGGGAUUGAACAGUUGAGGUGAGAGGAGGAAACGAUUCUUCAGUAAUUGAGGUAGAUGAUUUGUAGGGCUCUGUUAUUGGUGGUCAUUGUCUAGACUAUGGAGAUGCUGUUGGUAUGACUGGAUUAGUAGAUGCGUAAGAAAUAUUCAGACUUCUUUUUAUAUAGUUAUGUAAAACUAAUUUAUUGUGCUUGUAUAAUUCUUUGAAACUUUUGAUUCUUUUUCUUUCAUAUGUUUGAACUAGUUGUUGUUCGUCCAGAAACUAAAGAGAGUGAACUAAUAGUAAUGACAUGAUUGUGAAGUUAUAUGCUUGAGAAAAGUAUCAUCUAAAAAAUUAUUUGAUUAAGGUUAUUUAAAACUGUUUAGUGUUGCAUUGUUAGUGAUUUGUUUGAAGAUGGUUCAAAGUGUUGAUGAUAUUGUUUGCAGGUUUUGUGUAGCAGAUAAUCUGAAAAAACUUUAUGUGGAAUAACUUGGUAAUAGUUUCAUCAUGUUUUUAUAUGUUUAGGAAAGUUAUCUAUUUGUGAUGAUAGUGAUCCUACAUUCUUGUGAUUGUUGACCUGGUUGGCUUGUAAUUUUGAUAUUGAAGGAUGGAUUUGUCGGUGAUGCUUUAUUUUGUAACAAAUGCGGAGAGACUAUUUUCUUCAUAGUUUAGUUUUCUUCUUACUCUUUAAUAGCUAGCAUCUUUUCAUAUCUUGAUUUAAAGUAUCAGGAUAGGAUAUAAUUGCAAGCAUAUGGUGUAUUACUCUGUGUGGCUUAACUUUUUAAAUUGCAAGGGAGGUAUAAAUUUUAUUUGAAAGUGUGAUAAAUGGCCAAUUUUCCAUUUGAACCCUUGUUUUGUUUUUGGUAAUACAUGAAAUAAGGGAUAGUGCUGAUGUUGUUAUAGCUGUUGGUGGUGAUGGUACUCUUCAUGAGGUAAUUGCAUUAAGCUUAAAGAAAGGAACUUGUGUGUUUUUGGGACUUAAAUCAUUUAAUAUUUCUUGAAACAAAAUUUGUUUAAUCUUUCACAAAUGAGAAGCAUGCUACCAUAGCAGCUUAAUAUUUAAUGUGCGGCUCGGAUAAGAGUGAUGUAUUCAUGUGCCUGGAGAAGCAGUAUUGCAGGAUUAUGGGACAAUACAAGUAGAAGUUUCUGAUAGAAAUGGACAUGGGGGAAUGAGAAUGUCCUAGUUAGCUAGUUUUCUUUUUGUAAAGAUCAGAUGGCAUAAUUAUUUUGAAGGUAGUUGCUCUUAAUGAACAUCAAAGCCUGCCCCUCUUGUAUUUAUUGUGGAGAAGUAUGCUAGAAAGUAGAAACUGUUCUUGUUGAGAAAUAAUUGAGAUGGAACUGACUCGUCAAUUUUCUUUCAAUAUUCUCAGUUAAUAGUUUUAAUUGAUAAAGAUAACAGUUAAGCUUUUUAUUGGUUGGUUUCAACAUGGAAGUUCUGUGUUGAAUCUAGGUUAGAUGGCAGUGGCCUGGUUAAUUUUUGUAGAUGGCUCUGCAGUUCUUGCUCAAAGGUAUAUAAGAAACUAGGGAAUAUUCGAUUCAUAUGAAUAUAGUUCAGUGAUGCUUUAUGUUUAAAUUGCAUAUUAUCUACAGCAAACUGUCCAAUGCAGUAUAUGUUCAAUCAGUUCAUUUGCGCAAUUUGCAGGAUUGAGAUGAAACCCGGUGAAGGAACAUUCAUAAAUAAUGUUGGUUCAUCAAAGAAGAAAAGAUUUCAUCCUUGGAAUGAACUUUUGCUUUUCAUAGAUUGUAAAAUAAAGCCUUCUCUAAAAAUGCAACUUAUAUCUGCAGGUUUUGCAGGAAGACUUUACUAAAUGUCGCAUCCAUUCACGACUGAGUUCCUUUAUAGAGAGCAAGAAUUCCACAGGACAUGAGUUCUAGGGUGCAAAGGUUGAUGCAGCUGUUGUUAGAUUUAAACUUAAGUUAAUUUCAGAUUAUCCACCAGUAAUAUCCGCCAAAAGCUUCUUUUCAAUGUUCUUCUCAACAACCCACAGAUUUUUGAUAGAAUUUUUGGUGAUGAAUUCAUUUUGGAUAUUCUUGGUUCUCUUGAAUAUGAUCCUUACAUACCUCCAGUGCAAAAUCAUCGGUCUUUCUUGAAGGAGUAUGUGAUUUAUAAGGAGGCAAUCACUAUUAAAGAUCCUUUGGUAUUGUCAAAGAUUCAUCAAACCUAUUGAAUUGGUUAUAUAAAGGAUGUUAUUUUGCCAGGAGUAUUGGAUGAGGUAACUAUUGCAAGUCCCAGUGCCAUCAUUUAAGCAAAUAAUGCUACUGUUGUUUUGUUGCUAAAAGAUGAUAUUUCCUUUAUUCAAGAAUUAUUUGCAAGGAUGAAAUCGCCCUCCAUAUCUGAUGAAUCAAAGAGGAACUUGGACAAAUGGGCUAAGAACUUGUACCUUGCAUCAAUGUGCUAUGGUCGUACUAUAUCUUGAUAUAUAUUUAAUUGGCUAAAACCUUCAUCAAGGUCUGACAGUAGGGUUUCUCCUGCUACUUCUCAAGUACUUGUACACGGAGCCAUGCUUGAAAAACUGGGAAUGGAAAGCUAGAGGCAGGCCGUUCUAAUCUUAUUUAAUGCCAUGCUUUGUAUAUUUUGGGUCUGCUUUAUGUUGACAAAAUACUUUGAAUUACCAUCAUAUAUCUAGUUCUGGUGGCCUGCCAAAUUAAAGAAAAACUCACCUUAUACUGGUUAUUUUUUUGCUUUA